AACGCACCUUGCGCUCCUUGGUAUUCCGAGGAGCAUGCCUGUUUGAGUGUCAUGGAAUUCUCAACCAUGUCUUGAUUGACUUCGAGGCAUGGCUUGGACGGUGGGGGUUGCUGGCGGCGAAAGCCGUCGGCUCUCCUGAAAUGCAUUAGCGAUGGACGGCAAGUCUGACGUGCACGGCCUCGACGUGAUAAUGAUCGUCGUAGCUGGAGCGUCGGACGAGCGCUACAUGUCCCUUUGCUUCCAAUCCUUUGACUUGGGAAUGGGACUUUCGAGCGAAGCUUUAGUUACUAGUCGGUCGUGAGGCCGACGAACGCAGGGCGGGAUCGAAGGUCGGAAGCCCUCGUCUUUCUAGACGACUUGACCUCAAAUCAGGUAGGACUACCCGCUGAACUUAA
rnacentral:misc_RNA from 1 species